rnacentral:pre_miRNA from 1 species
UCUUCUUCGUGAAGGUUGGCAGCAGAAGAGAGAGAGCACAGCCCCGCUUUGAACAAAACCAGACUGAAAUAUCACUGGAGGAGAGGUGCUCUACCUCUUCUUCUCUCGAAAUUCCUUGAAUUACAGAAGA